rnacentral:rRNA from 1 species
UACGUAGGAUGCAAGCGUUGUCCGGAUUUACUGGGCGUAAAGCGCGCGCAGGCGGCUAGGUAAGUAGGGUGUGAAAUCUGUCGGCUCAACCGGGAGGGUGCACUUUAGACUGCUUUGCUUGAGGUCGGUAGAGGGGGGUGGAAUUGCUGGUGUAGCGGUGAAAUGCGUAGAGAUCAGCAGGAACACCCGUGGCGAAGGCGGCCCCCUGGGCCGUACCUGACGCUGAGGCGCGAAGGCUAGGGGAGCGAACGGG